AAUUUAAGUCUCUGGAAGCCGGAAAGCACGCCGUGGCGUCGCUUUACGGCUGUCGUGCUGGGUUCGCUUCCGUCGUGCCGCUCAUGUCCCUGCUGGCGGCCGUGCUGCUGUUGACUCCGAGCCGGGUGUCGGUCAGUGUGUUACUGUGGGGACACCCUGCUCUCUUGCGGUCUCUCCUAACACCAGCUUGUGCGUCCUAGAGAGGGAACCCAUGCCACCGGCCUCUGCUAUCCCCUGGUCUGGCAGGGUAUACCCGAUGACAACCUGAAGGAAGCAGGUUACCAUUACAUCAUGAACCUCUGCUGUGAAAGAGCCCUACCUGGAAGAGCGACUUUCCAAACACAAACACAUACUGGGAAUCCCUCCUACAAAUGCUUUGAUGAUCAAAGAGCAACAGAAAAGUCUCAUCCGAAGACAGAGACUCCUACAGCACCAACUUAGAAGGCAUCCCCCCGACUCGCCCUGGAGCCCCAGGCCACUGGUGCCUCCAACUCACCUUCUGAGGUCUGAAGAGCCACACACACUGCUGCAGCCAUGAGGGUCCUGUCUGAACAAUGAUCUGGAGCCAGUUGCCAAGACGAGGGGAUGAGUGGAUGCUGCAGUGGCUGCAUUUCCCUGAAGCUUCACGAGCUCAAGAGAAGCCUGGGAGGAGGGGCCAGUGAGGAGAGAAGAUGUGAAGAGGAUGGAGGAGAUGCAGGCCAACAAGAGGCAACUCAGCCCUCAAACACAAUGGUGCGCUGACAUCCACUGUCAGUAGGGCCAAGAAUAGAGUGGUGGUACGGAGGGGUGGUUGCAGGUUGUUAGUGCCCGAGAGGUCAGAGCCACAAACAACGCUCAUUAAAGAAGGGACAUUUCUGAGGACGGAGGUAAACUGUGGUAGAUCAUCCCAAAACUUUAUUAUUUAAGGAAGGAAUGAUGGCGAAAGUGAAUUUUCUUUCUAACAAUAGAAGGUGAGAUGACCCCCAAGGUGACAUUUUUA